AAAUGACAUCCAAAAUUUGGUUUGUGUUUGCUAGUCCAGACAGUUCCGAAUUAUUGGGAUUUGGGCUUUGUCAAAUUUUUGUUUGGCUGACCUUAAAAUAAUUUAGCCACAUCAUGAAAAAGAUUUGGGUGAUAUAAGGCGUAAUAGUUGGUACUCUUCUGUGUCCAUCCCUUUCGCCGAAAGCCUGUCUAUUUUUGUAAAAAGUUGGCUCAAUAAUAUGGAAAAUUUGAAGAAAUGUAGUUUUUUCAACCAUUG
rnacentral:misc_RNA from 1 species